UACGUAGGGGGCAAGCGUUGUCCGGAUUUACUGGGCGUAAAGCGCGCGUAGGCGGAACGAUCAGUCCGGUCUGAAAGCCCCCGGCUCAACCGGGGAGGGUGGCUGGAAACUGUCGUUCUUGAGGGCGAGAGAGGAGGGUGGAAUUCCUGGUGUAGCGGUGAAAUGCGUAGAGAUCAGGAAGAACACCGGUGGCGAAAGCGCUCUGCUAGGCCGCAACUGACACUGAGGGACGAAAGCUAGGGGAGCGAAUGGG
rnacentral:rRNA from 1 species